rnacentral:rRNA from 1 species
AGAGUUUGAUCCUGGCUCAGAUUGAACGCUGGCGGCAUGGCUAAAACAUGCAAGUCGAACGGACCCGCAAGGGUUAGUGGCGGAAGGGUGAGUACAAGUAUCGAACGUACCCCGAGGUGGGGGAUAGGCACGGGAAACUGUGCGUAAUACCCCAUGAUCUCGAGAGAGCAAAGCAGCAAUGCGCCUUGGGAGCGGCGAUAUACCUAUCAGGUAGUUGGCGGGGUAACGGCCCACCAAGCCGAAGACGGGUAGCCGGUGUGAGAGCACGGCCGGCCACAUCGAGACUGAGACACUGCUCGGACUCCUACGGGAGGCUGCAGUAACGAAUAUUCCGCAAUGCGCGAAAGCGUGACGGAGCAAUGCCGCGUGCAGGAUGAAGCGGUUUCGCCGUGUAAACUGCUGUCAGGGGCUCGAAACACUGAUCAGCCCCAGAGGAAGGACCGGCUAAACUCGUGCCAGCAGCCGCGGUAAGACGAGUGGUCCUAGCGUUAGUCGGAAUCACUGGGCUUAAAGGGUGCGUAGGCGGGCCAGUCAGUGCCUUGUGAAAGCCCCCGGCUCAACCGGGGAACCGCAGGGCAUACUGCUGGUCUUGAGGAAGCUAGAGGCCGGUGGAACGAUAGGUGGAGCGGUGGAAUGCGUAGAGAUCUAUCGGAACGCCGAUGGUGAAGACGCCGGCUGGGGCUUUCCUGACGCUGAGGCACGAAAGCGUGGGGAGCAAACAGGAUUAGAUACCCUAGUAGUCC